CAAUAGCGUAUAUUUAAGUUGUUGCAGUUAAAAAGCUCGUAGUCGGAUUUUGGCUGAGAACGAUCGGUCCGCCGUUCGGUGUGCACUGAUUGGUCUCAGCUUCCUGGUGAGGAGGUGUGCUUCACGGCCACUUAGUCACCGUGGUUACUUUGAAAAAAUUAGAGUGUUCAAAGCGGGCUUACGCUUGAAUAUAUUAGCAUGGAAUAACACCAUAGGACUCCUGUCCUAUUUCGUUGGUCUCGGGACGGGAGUAAUGAUUAAGAGGAACAGUUGGGGGCAUUCGUAUUUCAUUGUCAGAGGUGAAAUUCUUGGAUUUAUGAAAGACGAACUUCUGCGAAAGCAUUUGCCAAGGAUGUUUUCAUUGA
rnacentral:rRNA from 1 species